rnacentral:rRNA from 1 species
GACGAACGCUGGCGGCGUGCCUAAUACAUGCAAGUAGAACGCACAGUUUAUACCGUAGCUUGCUACACCAUAGACUGUGAGUUGCGAACGGGUGAGUAACGCGUAGGUAACCUGCCUGGUAGCGGGGGAUAACUAUUGGAAACGAUAGCUAAUACCGCAUAAUAUUAAUUAUUGCAUGAUAAUUAAUUGAAAGGUGCAAUUGCACCACUACCAGAUGGACCUGCGUUGUAUUAGCUAGUAGGGGAGGUAACGGCUCACCUAGGCGACGAUACAUAGCCGACCUGGGGAGGUGGUCGGCCACCCUGGGACUGGGACACGGCCCAGACUCCUACGGGAGGCAGCAGUAGGGAAUCUUCGGCCAUGGACGGAAGUCUGACCGAGCAACGCCGCGUGAGUGAAGAAGGUUUUCGGGUCGUAAAGCUCUGUUGUAAGAGAAGAACGGGUGUGAGAGUGGAAAGUUCACACUGUGACGGUAUCUUACCAGAAAGGGACGGCUAACUACGUG